UAUUUUUAGCUCACCUGGCCCAAAGGGCCAAGUGAGCUUUUCUCAUCACUUGGCGUCCGGCGUCCGGCGUCGUCGUCCGUCGUCGUCGUCCUGCGUCCGGCGUUAACUUUUACAAAAAUCUUCUCCUCUGAAACUACUAGGCCAAAUUUAACCAAACUUGGCCACAAUCAUCAUUGGGGUAUCUAGUUUAAAAAUUGUGUCCGGUGACCCCGCCAACUAACCAAGAUGGCCGCCAUGGCUAUAAAUAGAACAUAGGGGUAAAAUGCAGUUUUUGGCUUAUAACUCAAAAACCAAAGCAUUUAGGGCAAAUCUGACAUGGGGUAAUAUUGUUAAUCAGGUUAAGAUCUAUCUGCCCUGAAAUUUUCAGAUGAAUCUGACAUUCCGUUGUUAGGUUGCUGCCCCUGAAUUGGUAAUUUUAAGGAAAUUUUGUUGUUUUUGGUUAUUAUCUUGAAUAUUAUUUCAGAUAGAGAUAAACUGUAAAAGGCAAUAAUGUUCAGCAAAGUAAGAUCUACAAAUAAGUCAACAUGACCAAAAUGAUCAGUUGCCCACUUUAGGAGUUAUUGCCCUUUAUAGUCAAUUUUUAACCAUUUUUCGUAAAUCUUAGUAAUCUUUUAGAAAAAUCUUCUCCUCUGAAACUGCUGGGCCAAAUUAUUUGAAACUUGGCCACAAUCAUCAUUGGGGUAUCUAGUUUAAAAAUUGUGUCCGGUGACCCCGCCAACUAACCGAGAUGACCGCCAUGGCUAUAAAUAGAACAUAGGGGUAAAAUGCAGUUUUUGGCUUAUAACUCAAAAACCAAAGCAUUUAGAGCAAAUCUGACAUGGGUAAAAUUGUUAAUCAGUGAAGAUCUAUCUGCCCUGAAAUUUUCAGAUGAAUUGGACAACCUGUUUUUGGGUUGCGGCCCCUGAAUUGGUAAUUUUAAGGAAAUUUUGCAGUUUUUGGUUAUUAUAUUGAAUAUUAUUAUAGAUAUAGGUAAACUGUAAACAGCAAUAAUGUUCAGCAAGGUCAGAUUUACAAAUAAGUCAGCAUGACCAAAAUGGUCAGUUGACCUCUUUAGGAGUUAUUGCCCUUUAAAGUCAAUUUUUAACCAUUUUUCGUAAAUUUUAUAUAUCUUUUACUAAAAUCUUCUUCUCUGAAACUGCUGUGCCAAAUUGAUUCAAACUAUGCCACAAUCAUCUUUGGGGUUUCUUGUUUAAAAAAUGUGUCCGGUGACCUGGCCAUCAAACCAAGAUGGCUGCCACGGCUAAAAAUAGAACAUAGGGGUAAAAUGCAGUUUUUGGCUUAUAACUCAAAAACCAAAUAAUUUAGAGAAAAUCUGACAUGAAGUAAAAUUGUUAAUCAGGUCAAGAUCUAUCUGCCCUGAAAUUUUCAGAUGAAUUGGACAACCUGUUUUUGGGUUGCGGCCCCUGAAUUGGUAAUUUUAGGGAAAUUUUGCUGUUUUUGGUUAUUAUAUUGAAUAUUAUUAUAAAUAUAGGUAAACUGUAAACAGCAAUAAUGUUCAGCAAAGUAAGAUCUACAAAUAAGUCAACAUGAACGAAAUGGUCAAUUGACCCCUGUAGGAGUUAUUGACCUUUGUAGUCAAUUUUCAAUCUGCUUCCUUUGUUUAAUAUUCACAUAGACCAAGGUGAGCGACACAGGCUCUUUAGAGCCUCUAGUUAAUUUACUC
rnacentral:lncRNA from 1 species